CCUUUAGUGGGAGGUCUUUGGAUCAUUGGGGACUUGCCCUGGAAGGGGACCAUGGGGCCCCAGCCCCUUCCUGUCUCUUUCCCUUGCUUCCUGGCCAAGAGCUGAGUGGGUUUGCUUGGCUACAAGCUUUCGUCACAGUGUGUCAAAAGGCCAACUCAUCAUGGACUGGAACCUCCAAAACCCUGAGCUGCAGUGAACCUUUCAUCUUUAUAAGUUGAUCGUCUCCAGGAUUUGUUACAGUACUGGGCAACUGACAGACACACUGGGCUGGGAGCGAGGCCCACAGGGCCAAGCAGGCCACACACCACUCCUGGGAAGGGGGGCCCGUGUGUCCCUCCAGCUGGCGCCUCAGCCUCAAGCCUUGUUGCGCAGCCCCGCAAACAAGGGAGAAAUUGUUUUUCUUUCCAGCUGAUGACUCCGUGUUGAGUGUAUGUUGUGUAGCGUGUACAUCGGCUGUAAGCGUCUCCAGGAUGUUGCUAAGUGAAGAACGAAACAAGACGCAGAACGGUGGAUACGUAAGCAACUAUUUGUGUCGAAAAGCAGAAAAAGAGCGCAGUGUGUACGUGUGCUUUUUUAAAUGCGUGAAAUAUUCCUGGAAGGUUCCUAAGAAACUGCUAGCGUCCAGUUUUUGUGGAGCUGAGUGGCUACAAGACAGGAGAUGAAGGGCGCUCUCUACUCUAGAAUCUCGGGUCUUUUGCAGAGACAUGUAAACAUUUGACCUAUUCAAACAUAAAUAAAAUUAGGAUAGAAAGACAGAGAAAGGUGAGUGAGGCUCAGAGAGGGUGAGGGCUCCCUGGGCGUCACACAGCGGGAGGGAAUGGAAAUCAGCCUCCCUUCUGCUGCUCCUGCACGGACGUGUUUGUUUUGUUUCCCUGGCAAUCUCCCCAUGCGGGAGCUUUUGCUCUUUGAGGCCCUUUGCGUGAACCUCUCUCUACCGUGUGGCUGGCCAGUUGGAGUAUAUUUCACCAGCUGCUGUAAUUAACUUGGUUCUUUGCCGUGUGCUGUGUUCCUUUGCCUCAGUGACACAGCCUGGCCAUGUGACCUCGUCUCAUCUGCGCAAUCUUGGGGACCAGGCUCCCCUCUGACCCAGCGCUUCCCCCGGGACCAGGCUGCUGUCCCAAUGAUGGCUGCCCUGCCUGAGCACCGUGACUCGGCAGCUGCCGGGGUGAGGAGGGGGCUCACAGGCGCUGCCCAGGGUGUCGCUGGAUCCCAGGAGCGCUGAGGGGCUCCCUCUGGCUUCUCCUGCCCCCGUGGUACCGGGGACAGUCGUGAUUUCCUGGCCGCAGGAAGCAGGUGUGGGAGGCAGGCGGCCUUCCUGGGUCCCCAGCAGAGACACGGUUGAGAUGACAUUUGUUUGAAGGUCAGUGGGCUGGGAGCCAUGUGGGGGCCUCGGCCUGGUCAUCGGCUCCUUGCCUGUGUCCUGGCUUCCUCAGCACCGCUGCUGUCCCAGCCCAGCGCGGGUGCAGACUCCUCCUUCCUGAGGCAGAGAGGUCCUGUGUCCGGCCAUUGCGCGUCACCUUGCAUCUUCCCGGUGCGUCGCAGGUCUGAGCGCUCCUCGCGCCUGUGUUAAUGCCACACAGGCUGAGCCGCAGGUGAGGGGCGCUUAGAGGGCGAAGCUUCGCUGAGAUGCUUCUCAGCCUCCCGGUCCCGCCUGCGGUGUCUUCAUGGUCCCGGUCGGAC
ensembl:lincRNA